rnacentral:lncRNA from 1 species
GUGCUGUUCGAGGUCCUCUGUGCUCGGCCUGCCUUGAACCCGACUCUUGCAAAGGAAGAAGUUAGCCUGGCAGAAUGGGCAUUGCACUGCCAGAAGAAGGGAAUUCUGGAUCAGAUUGUUGAUCCCUACCUAAAGGGAAAGAUUGUUCCGCAGUGCUUCAAGAAGUUUGCCGAGACAGCUGAGAAGUGCGUUGCCGACAAUGGCAUCGAGCGCCCUUCGAUGGGAGAUGUGCUUUGGAAUUUGGAGUUUGCUCUUCAGAUGCAGGAAAGUGCGGAGGAGAGCGGAAGCUUUGGCUGUGGGAUGUCGGAUGAGGGCACUCCCCUGGUGAUGGCUGGAAAGAAGGAUCCCAAUGACCCAUCGAUCGAUUCAAGCACCACCACGACCACGACAACUUCCCUAAGCAUGGGCGACCAAAGUGUCGCGAGCAUCGACUCGGACGGGCUGACGCCGAGCGCCGUGUUCUCACAGAUCAUGAACCCCAAGGGGCGGUGAGGUAAAAAUCUGGGCCUGCUUGUCGCCCUUGAGGCCUAAUUUAUUCAUUGAGUCUAUUUUCAUCAGUUUGUGCCAUCUUGCAAGUUAUGGAUUGGGGGUCAGAGUAUUGUUUCACGUUAGACAUUUCUGCAUUGCCUUGUUUUUUUCUUGUUCAGCGUUGUACUGACUCUGCUUUUUAGCAUGUGUAACUACCGCCGCUGCUACGUGUUAUUGACCCGACAAGUAAAGUGAUGUGCACGGCCUUUUCCUUUUUCUUUUUGGCUUCAUGUCAUGCUCCUUUCCGAAUCCUGGUGAUUGACACGGGACGGGAUCAUCCAUGUUGUGUUGACGUUGAUUGUUACCAGUCAUGCUCAAGCAUAUGCUGUGUUGCAUGUCGUCUUGUGUUCAAUCACAAACUUCAUUUUGCGGCGUCCAGCUGACAAGUAGUAGUUGUUGCUGAACCGGAGCCUGUGUCAGCUGUAGAGCACGGUCCACUCUGCUAUGUUGAUCCAAUCAACCCACCUUCUUCCCAGCGAUAUAGUAGGAGUAUAUAAUUUCUGCUCAUCCGACUGCCUGUCUUCCAUGUUGUUAUUUGAUUCCUGUAUAAACUUACAGCUGUGCACGCUGAAGAAAUGAGUGGAGUUCCCCGCAAAAAAAAAGAAAAGAAGAAAUGAGUGGAGUCGAAUAAUUCUGGCUCCCAGCUGUUCCGUGGAGAGAAGGAGCACUUGAAUACUCCUAUGAUUCCGGUGUCCAGGUCUGUGGAGUGCGAGUCGUCGCGUCGUGCCAGCAUCGUGAAAUCUCCCGGUGGAUGGACGGCAUUGUUUCACUAUGAGCUAUUCCGUUUUUUCUUGCCCAACCGCACGUUUUGGGGUCGAUGAUGCUGCCCAACCCUAAAUCAUGUGCCUGUCUUGCUUCCUCUGUGUAGCGUAGCCCUAGGUCUUCCUUCCAUAUGUCAGUUAGCUUUCUUGCCCAAGUUCCGUCUUUGCCCGGAGUCUGUUGUGCCCGGAUCAUGGAAGGAGUGAAGGAGGGUCUCGCCCAACUGUUUUGAGAGCAGGGAGCCACACGCAGAACACAGCCAUAUUAUAUUAUCCAGCUACGGCGAGCACAAGUUGUGCCUCAAACCACGAGACGUGUCGCCCUGUAUCUCGUUUCUGCUGUAUGGAUGCCAGCGAUUUUCUUCUCAUUACCAAACUUGUCGUUCCUGCUGUUAUCCAGCUCGAUCUCAGUCUUUCUCGCAAAGAAAGAAUCGGUCCUGUUCACAUGGAGAGCGGGAAGGAGUCAUGGAUCCCUCCUCAACGCCGCCCUCCCCGAUCAUGCAAUACGACUGUUUCUAGUAUCACUGUAUCAGCAUCUCAUAUUCCCUUAAUAAACUGCAGAGUGGCGAUUCAUAAUCCAUCAAUGAAAAUAUGUUGGAAUUGACCUAGACAUGUCAACCUCACAUUAGUAAAAAUAAAUAGUACUCCCUCCGUAUCAAAGCAUAAGACGCUUCAAAAAGUACUGGUCCAUCGGGGCAGGUGUGAAUCCAUGAACCCGAGCCGGUGUGACCGAAUCUGAACCCUGAAGUCAUCGUCCCCGUCCAUAUUUUCUGUGGCUGAUUCGCAGGGGAACUCCUCGUCGACUGUGAAUCCCGAGAGAUUGGUGUUUUAAAACUAAAUAGUACAGUAAAUUAAAUAAAAUAGAUCGGAUAGAAGAAACUGAAACACCCAUGAAUAAUAGAGAUUUGUGACAAAACCUGUGGUAACAUCAAGGUCGAUACAUGAUGUAACUAUUUUGAGUUAAUCUCUACUCCUAAUGUCUCAGUUGGUAGGUCGCGUUCCAGGUUUUAUUUUCGUCCCACCUCACCCGGUCUUUUUUGGUGCUUUGGUACUUCCUCCCACCUUCCUCUCAGCUGCGAAAAACCAAGGAAAACCCCGCGAUCGAGUCCCGCACACGCCCAACCUCCCGUCUCACGAUAAGCCGCAUAGAACCAAAAAAAAAA